UUCUAAUUCAUGACUUAUAGAUGACAGGACCAGCCAGAACCCUUCCCCAGCACCCACCAAGCAGGCUACCCACACACACACACACACACACACACCUGUUCUAAUUACUACACAGGUGAAUGACAGGUGUGAAAUUGGUCAGGUGUUCUAUCUCAUGACUUAUAGAUAACAGGACCAGCCAGAACCCUUCCCCAGCACCCACCAAGCAGGCUACCCACACACACACACACACACACACACACACACACACACACACACCUGCUCUAAUUACUACACAGGUGAAUGACAGGUGUGAAAUUGGUCAGGUGUCCUAUCUCCAGUGACUUAUACCCACACCCACAUAUAUAAAUACCUACACAAUGUCUAUAGCAAUGGUGGAGGAUGAUAUGAUUUAAUUAACUUGCUAUAACAUUCUUCAUCACUUCAUAUGACUCUAAACACACACACACACACACACACACACACACACACACACACAAUUGACCUAUCUUCCAGCCACCCCACUUGACUCUUUUGUAGGAGCAGUGAGUAGCAGGUUUUUUUUUUUAUUAAUUAUAGUUUCCUUUUUUUUGCCCUUGAACUGUUUCCUCGACUGUAGAAAAAAAAAUCAUAACAAACUCGCUAAAAACAGACUGUGGCCUUCCAGAAAAAAAUAAAUAAAUAAAAAAAAUCAUCACACACUCACUAAAAACACACUAUGGCCUUCCUGUUAUCCUAUCCUGUAUUUAUCAUUGAUGCUUAAGUCUCUUCAACUGAAGUUUAAACAGUGAUACCAACACCAUCACAAAACCUUCAGGGGACAGUUGUUACAAGAUGCAUGGCUGACAGAAAGGGGAAGGACAGGCGGGUCAUAAUCUCAUCAUCACUCUUAUUCAGGUCACCAAGUUGGAAAGUUUCGUUUAGUCGGCGCAACAUCUGUGGUCAUAUGCCGGAGAGAGACAGAAGGGGAAGGAAUUAUAGGAGAAGGGAACAGAUCUCAGGAGACGGGACACAACCCCCGAUUAAUACCUGGUACCCAUUCACUGCUGGGUGGACAGGGGCGUAGGGUAUCGGAAAAGCCGCCCAAAUUUUUCCACUCCCCCCAGGAAUCAAACCCGGGCUCUCUCGGUUGAGUUUGGGAGGCGAUUCAUUUUCCUGUCCAUCCAUGACUUAAUAUUUACACAAAACUCCCAAUUGUAUCAACUUUGAAUAACAAGUUCGCUAAUCUCAGUGUUUUGCCUAUUGCCAUUUAUAGUACAGUUCACUAGGUCAUUCAUCUUCCUAUCCAUCCAUGACUUAAUAUAAACAAAACACCCAAUAGUAUCAAAUAUGGAUAACAAGUUUGCAAUGUUACCUCAGUGUUUUGUCUAUUGCCAUUUAUAGUACAGUUCAGCAAGUCAUUCAUCUUCUUAUUCAUGCAACCCUUAAUAUAAACAAAACACCCAAUCGUAUCAAAUUUGAAUAACAAGUUCGCUAAUUUACCUCAGUGUUUUGCCUAUUGUCUAUUGCAGUACAGUUCGGUAGACCAUUCAACCAUCUUCCUAUUCACCCAAGCCUUAAAAGUUACACCAAACACCCGAUAGUAUCAAAUAUGGAUAACAAGUUUACUAUUUCACUAAGUUAUCUAAGUAUCUUGCAACCAGUCUGAGUAUUGUCGUACGUCCUCAAACCGGUGACUAGCGUAAGGCACAGUACUUUCCUUAAGACUAAAUUCCAACCUUCCCUAUGCAUAUGAAAACCCAGUGCCAACCUUCCUUAACCCGGUAGCAGCGACAGCCCAAAUUUGUGGCUUUACCGUGUACCAGUGACAGGCCAAAUUUGUGGCUUUACCGUGUACCAGUGACGGGCCAAAUUUGUGGCUUUACCGUGUACCAGUGACAGGCCAGAUUUUUAGCUGGACAUAAACCCCAAAAAAUAGAGGAUGCAUAAACUGAUCACAAAUACAUUGAUAUAUAUGAUGAUUUGCGUGAGUGAUGAUUUUUUCUCAUGAAUUCACUCAGAGGAGCCUUUAAGAAACAUGAUCCCCGCAGCAGCUACCAGGUUAUCACACAGAGGUAACAAGCAACAGCGCUACUUUUAAAAUGGUAACAACUACUUCUGCUCCCGUGGUGACUAAUACUAUGAUAACUAUUACAACAGGACCUACUACUGCUACCGCACCUAAAUGUUAGGAACGCGUCUUUCCACGAGAUGGGAACACUGAUUGGGAGGCUGGUCACGGGAUGCACCUGUCUGAAGCUUCCCCAGGUGACGGCAACACACACACACACACACACACACACACAACAUCCUCAACACACCACACUGUUUACUCGACUUCCAUGUACACUCAACUUGGUCUUGUGAUGUGAAUUAAAAUGAGUCCAUCACCCUAUUUGUUCCUUAUGCUUAUACACAUUAUAUUAAGUAGUGUAAGUCUUUCAUUAGUCUUUACGACCUUGUCAUUUAUCAGGCUAAGGAGGGUUAUUGCACACACACUCACACACACACUCACACACACAAGGAAUGCUUCAACACCCCAGAGAAGGCCUGAGUACACACACGACGCUUAGGGAAUUCCUGCGACGCCUACCCACGGAAACAAAGUCAGACAAUCCACGCACCCACGGAAUGAGCAACAAAUAAACAAACACACGAACAAAACUCCACUUGCCCACACCACUUCCACGAGCCUGCCGCAAUGAUCUCGGCCACUUGGGGAAUGAGCCGCCUCACACCGCAGACGAAGAACAUCACCCGCCGAGAGAGAACAUUUCCGCCGAAGGGAGUUUGGGUACGGAGAAACGGGAAUUUGAAUAAGUUACAGGAAAUUAGUGGCUUUGUGAAGUCUUAGAGUGUGAAAUGCAC